rnacentral:misc_RNA from 1 species
AACUGGGGAAUUAGUUAACACAUCUUUAGGAGAUGACAGGGAUAUCUUCGAUCGGGGAUCGACAAAAUACGUCCACAAUGAUAGCAAAAGACAUUACGCCAAUCAACGGACUUCCUUUGGAUGAUCUCGAAGUGCCAUCUGGUGGUGUAAUGGAGAUGAAUAACGGUCUUUCUUUUCAAUUCGAUCCCGAACUACUCCUGCAAACAACGGGUUAUAACCCUCAGGAUGUUUCCAUGCCGAUCAGAAAUCAGGUUACCCACACUUCAGCGUUAGCUGUUAGUACUCCUACACUUAAUCGUGUAAAGAAUUCACAGUCAGAUGGUUUACCACGACCACAGACUCCUUGUAGACUUCCACCAAUGGCGUCGUUUCUUGUAAAUAUUUCUACUGAUGCAGAAAGACCAUCUUCAGAAAUUAAUAAUCCGUUUAAUUCAACACAUACGACUUCUACGGUGAGUACUUUAAAAAGAGUAAGUCAUAAAAGAACAAACAGAAGUCAAAGUGCACGAUAUGCGCACAAUAGUUUUCCACGACUUUCGCCAGCGCCACCUAGUUAUCAGCCUGCUCAAUCACCAUCAACUUUAAUGAUGAUGACUGGUUAUAAUAACUUAGCCGUUGGCUAUUUUUUAAAUCCAGAACAACGUACCAAGAUAGUUUCUACUAUCGACUCUAGAAAGGUCACAUCAAGCCGAGGUAAAAGGGUUGACAGAGAAGAUACUACACUAUCCUCAGUUCACGUGCUACCCACAAUGCACUUAGAUAUUUUACCGUCCCCAGGAGCUGCCAGUGUAAGUUCUCCAGGUAGCCAUACAUUAACACUAAGCACCAAUCCAAGUCCUAGUUGUUCUAGUUUCUCUGGUGAGCUGAGUACAUCCUCAUUUGUAACAUCUCAUCUUCAUGGAGAUUGUAACCAAAGCUUAGACAAUUCUCCUUUCAUGAACUCGUCUUCUAGUCACCAGCCAGUUAUAGAUUCACUCGUUAACUCCCUUGUUUCUGCGUCGGAAGGUAUCCAGAACUUUGCUGAGACAAGUUCAGAUAAUUUCUUAAAUUGUCAGGAUACUGUUUUGGAUUCUCUUCUUUCUGCUUCAUCUUCAGACCAACUUUUUAAUAGUGUUUCUGACUCCGAUUUGAUGAUAACGACGACAGACUCGGGAAGUGUUCUUGGCCUUCCUGAUAUUCACUUUGGCACUCAAGAGCCUUCUGUUGAUCAAAGUGACAUUUCUUCAAUCCUCCUACAACCACAAGAGCCGUUAUUAACCAAUCCUGUGCCUGAUCCUGCUAACCCCAUUUCUUCUGAUCUACCACCGGCUGCAAGUAAUACGACUGUGCCAUAUUUACCCUGCACAUCAAUUCAAGAAGUCAAGGAAGAAACCACCUGGAGCAGGUAUUCAAUUUUGCCCUCAGUUGGAAACAUCCAAACAAAUGCCAAUGAGUUUGCUCUUCCAUAUCACAACGUGAUGGCACCAAGCGGUGCUCUCUGUCAGUACUCUGGGACACAGAGCUCUUUAUCAGGAUUUCAUUCGAGUUGUGCGGAAAUGUACCCACCAACUUCUAAUUUUGUCAGUCCUCGUCAUUCUGCAAGGUCAUCUUAUUCAGGCCGUGGUUCACGUGCAACUGGAAAAAGAGCUUUGUCGAUCUCUCCUUUGUCAUCGGAUGGGUUAGACUUGAAUACUCUAAUCAGGAUAUCUCCCACAUCCCUGGUAUUUCAAUGGAAUGGGUCUCGAAGUUCUUCAGCAAGUAUGUCUCCUGCUUCUGGAGAAAGACAUGGUUGUUACGGUCACUUGUCUGCCAGAAACAGCAGUAGCAGUCCACACUCAGGUUCUGGUUCUUCAGCUUACAGGAUGAGCAUCUCUUACACUCCACAAACAAAUACCAGCGGCAAAGAUGCUAAGGAUGAUGUAUUGGACAUCGAUAGUCACUUCUUGGCCUGCCAAGAUAUGCAGAAUCUUGAACAAGGAAAUUACGCUUUGUCCGAAGAGUUUGCCGUGCCGGAUCAAGUAAUUAUCCCACAAAAUAAUCUCCAGGUAGUGGAACAGCAAGAUAAUAUGUUUAAAACUGAACAAUAUGAUGGCGCUUGUAUGUAUUCUUCUUCCAAUACAGCACCCUUUAGACUACCACCGCCACCUCCUCCACCCUUGCCGCCAUUGUCAAAUCGUCCUCCUCCUUCUUAUGAUCAACACAUGGCCCGAAAAAUUGCUUUACAAAAGAAAAGUUCUUCAGAUAGCAGUCAUCCGUCGAGCUAUUCCAGCUUUGAUAGCUCAGAAGGUGACCGAGUUGGCGAAGGUAACGACAGUGAUCAGGGAGUCAAACAGCACCACGUUUGCAGGUGGAUCGACUGCAGCGCAGUCUUCAGUGAACAAGAAGAUUUAGUGAAACAUAUUGAGAAAGCCCACGUUGACCAAAGGAAAGGUGAAGACUUUACUUGCUUUUGGCAAGGAUGUACACGUCGCUUUCGUCCCUUCAACGCUCGUUACAAACUGCUCAUCCAUAUGCGAGUUCACUCUGGAGAAAAGCCCAACAAAUGCAAGUUUGAAGGGUGUAACAAGUCUUUUUCGCGCCUGGAGAAUCUGAAGAUUCACCUUCGAUCCCAUACAGGAGAGCGGCCAUACGUGUGUCAGUACGAAGGUUGUUCUAAAGCGUUCAGUAAUUCAUCUGACAGAGCCAAGCAUCAACGAACUCAUCAAGACACUAAACCUUAUGCCUGUCAGAUACCCGGAUGUUCUAAAAGGUAUACUGAUCCAAGUUCACUCAGAAAACAUCAGAAAAACCAUCAGCCUAAAGUGGACCCAGUGAGGAAAAGGUUAAGAGGUGGUCCUGGAGAAAUGGAUCCCCAAAACUUGCAGGAAUGUCUUACGAUUCAGCCAAUAAGGAUAAGUCAGAGUUGCGGAUCCCCUCCUCUUCACGAACAUAGUGACAAUGGAUUAGGACGUUCUCCCCUAAAUUCCCUUCAAGGUUCCUCUAGCGACUCCUAUCCGGGUAUCUCGUUAAUACCCAGCAACCAGUCAAGUAGGAGUAUCAGUAGUCACACUUCUCCAGUUAGCCACCAGGGGAGUCCGGCCCUAACAGAAAUCACAGAAUGUAAUGAUACGAGACAGCAGACAAACACAGGUCGAAGAGUUCCGAUGCUGCCACCUAUUGGACAUAAUAAUCAACAAGUAUCUCGACAAGAUAGUUCUCAGCGUUUACGACCACAGUCUUUAGUCGGUCGCCCUUUGAACUCGAAUAACGAGGGUUCGACGUUAAUAAGCCUAGAUCUUCCAACUAAUACCACGUCGAGAGACCAAGCUCGUAGCGCCUCAGGAGCAGUUACCACAGAAAGGUAUGGUAACUCAACUUACCUGAGCUCGACUGGUUCCUUUUGUAGUCGCUUCUCUUCUAGAUGUCAAAGUAACCUUUCCGGGCUUCCAGUUGUAGAAGACUUCCCUUCAGGACUUGGCCUGGAUGCCUUUUCACACACUAGCGGAAUAUCGUGAAGAUUUCCCUUAUUUCAGCCAGAAGUUAUAAAAUGAAAAUCUUCAUCACUAACGGAAAACGGAUAGUUCCGGAUAGUGACGCUUGGAAGAAGUGAAAAAAUAAAUAAAACAUUCGGAAGUUCCAGCGUUGUUGUACGAAAAGAUGGGGCUUUUGAAAACGAAGUCUGUGUUUAUUGAAUAUAUAAUAUUUUAUAGACCGUAAGAAUAUUAUACACUCCAUAAGACAAAUUGUAUCAUUUCAUAUAAUGCUACAAGAUAAGUUUUCCUUGUUUGUUUUUUUAUUACACGAUCUCAAAACAGAAGAAAUUCAUGUUUAGAGAUUUAGAGUAAGUACUGACAUGGAACAUAUAUGUUCUGUAUUUGUUUUUAUUUUUUCAUCCAGGUCAAGAAAUCAUCCUGAAAAUGGGAGUGAUUGAUAGCAUAGUGUAGUGUAAAGACAUAUUCUAUACAUCCUGUUUUUUUAGGCAUUUAACUUUUAUUACUUUUAUUUCUUGUUACGUGUCUGUUGGGUUAUAAAGCUUUGAUGUAGUGGCAGGUAUUCGAAUAAAAACCAAGUUAUCUUAAUAUGUAGAAUGGUGAAAUAUUGCUAACAUAGGUUCAUAACGGUUAGCUUAUUAAACCUAUUAAUACAUUACUAUAUUUUUUAUCAUUCAAGUUCGGUUCAAUAAAUACGUAAAAGUUUAAAAAAGUUUGAAUAAAAUACUCUGUUUUUAAAUUAAAUGAGAUAACAGCAUUACAUCCUUUACAAAGGAACAAUAGUGUAUUUCGAAUGUAACGGUGGAGGUUUAAAAAAAACAACAAAGAGGGGGCGAUGUAUACACCACUGCACUGGAGUUAAUUUUUUAGAUAUUGAAAUGUCCAAUCAUAACAUAUAGAUAUAUUUUUCUUUUGUAAAACUGGAUUUAUCUUAAAUUAACAGCGGUAGCUGGUUGAUAGAAUGUAAUUUUCCAAAAUAUACUUUGUUUAACAAAUAUAUGAUUUACCUUCGGAUCGAAUUACACUACCAUUUAAAGUCUCGUCCCAACAGGAUAUUGAAUUAUCAAUAGAAGUAAGCUUAACGUGCAUAUUCAACGUGUUCAGAUAUCUACAGGUUUGGGUUUAUCGUGUUCAGAUAUCUGCAGGUUUGGCUUUAACGUGUUCAGAUAUCUAUAGAUUUGGGUUAAACGUGUUCAGAUAUGUACAGGUUUGAAUUGAACAUGUUCAGAUAUCUAUAGGUUUGGGUUCAACAUGUUCAGAUAUCUACAGGUUUGGGUUUAACGUGUUCAGAUAUGUACAGGUUUGAAUUGAACAUGUUCAGAUAUCUAUAGGUUUGGGUUCAACAUGUUCAGAUAUCUACAGGUUUGAGUUUAACGUGCAUGUUCAACGUGUUCAGAUAUCUAUAGAUUUGGGUUUAACGUGUUCAGAUAUCUACAGGUUUGGGUUUAACGUGUUCAGAUAUCUACAGGUUUGGGUUUAACAUGUUCAGAUAUCUACAGGUUUGGGUUUAACCUAUUCAGAUAUCUACAGAUUUGAAUUAAACAUGUUCAGAUAUCUAUAGGUUUGAAUUAUACAUGUUCAGAUAUCUACAGAUUUGAAUUAAACAUGUUCAGAUAUCUAUAGGUUUGAAUUAAACAUGUUCAGAUAUCUACAGGUUUGGGUUCAACAUGUUCAGAUAUCUACAGGUUUGGGUUUAACAUGUUCAGAUAUCUACAGGUUUGGGUUCAACAUGUUCAGAUAUCUAUAGGUUUGGGUUCAACAUGUUCAGAUAUCUACAGGUUUGGGUUUAACCUAUUCAGAUAUCUACAGAUUUGAAUUAAACAUGUUCAGAUAUCUACAGAUUUGAAUUAAACAUGUUCAGAUAUCUAUAGGUUUGAAUUAAACAUGUUCAGAUAUCUACAGGUUUGGGUUCAACAUGUUCAGAUAUCUACAGGUUUGGGUUCAACAUGUUCAGAUAUCUACAGGUUUGGGUUCAACAUGU